UACGUAGGGCGCAAGCGUUGUCCGGAAUUAUUGGGCGUAAAGGGCGCGUAGGCGGCUGUACAAGUCAAAGGUGAAAUCCCUCGGCUCAACUGAGGAACUGCCUUUGAAACUGUACGCUUGAGGCCGGGAGGGGGUAGCGGAAUUCCCAGUGUAGCGGUGAAAUGCGUAGAUACUGGGAGGAACACCAGUGGCGAAGGCGGCUACCUGGACCGGUUCUGACGCUGAUGCGCGAAAGCGUGGGUAGCAAACAGG
rnacentral:rRNA from 1 species